UGCGACGGAGCACAGACACGGGCCUGAGACCGCUCCAUCCGGGGUCGCCGGCGCCGAUAACGGCUAUCCGUACGAUGCUGUUCUCUUGCACUUCUCUAUACCUAGCUGGCAAUCUCCACUUCACGGGCAAGCGCCCGUAGCUUACUAAGCACGCUCCGCACUAUUCCGCACAACUUAUUGACGCUUUCACACGAUUUUCCGCGAUUAUAUAGGAGCUCGUAUUUUGACGUUCGUCCUUGUAAACAACUCCCUGACAGCCUUCCAAAGAUGCCAAUGCCAGUGGUUGUGUUGUCUCUCAGGUAGCGAGAUCGAAAUUGCAUGGAGAAGAGGCAAUAAAAGGCUCGGAAAAACUAUUUUCUACUCUGACCUUAUAAGAUCUACCGUAUAGGUAAGAUUUAAGCCAGGAUAGAAGGGGAUCACCAAUUCCGAGUUUCUCAAGCUUUGAAAGUAAACAGGCUAGCGAUAUAGGGUCAAAAGCUGCUUUAAAGUCGGUAUGUAUAUAUAGUAUCCACUUGAGAGCCACGCUCCAUGGUGUUAAAGAUCGAGGAUACAAGGCACAUUAGGUUAGUAGAGGUUGAACGUUUUGGCAUGAAUCCGUGCUGAUGUUCUGAAAUUACAUUUGUAACACACGAACGAAUAGACGAGUGAACAACUGACUCAAACACUUUGGAAGACGAACACAAUAUGGACACACCCCCUAUAGUUAAUACAUGAAAAACGAUUGCCCUUUUUGUGGAUUGUAAUGAGCCAGGCUUUUUUCCACAGUGACGGAAAAUAGCCAUCCUGUUUUGAUCUAUUAUAUAAUCGAUAAAGUAGAGGAGCGAAAAAUGUAGAACAUUUCUUUAAUAAUGCUGAUGGUAUCCCAUCAGGACCGGGGGAAAAAGAAAGUUUGAGUUUGGAUAGGGCAACCAACACAGAAUCGACAUGAAUUGAGACAUUAUUACACGAAAACACAUUCGACGGUGUAUGAACAAGACAAUCAGAAACAUUAACUGGACUGCUGCUGGUGUCGACAAAAACACAAGCAAAAAGUUUUCUCGAGUCUUCGGGAGAAGACGCGGACUCAUUUAACAAAUGUGGUUGAUUAUAUGCGUGGAUGGACAAAAACAUACGUGAAGAAGACAAUUUUCGGCACGAUGUGCACAGAGCUCAUUUCGUCGUCCCGGGCGAAUGGAAAAAAACACAAAAAUCGCAAGUUUCGCCCUCGGGUAGAACAUUUCUACAUUGGUUCGCGGGUUCGAUCUAAAUUGGUUUAUUAUUUAUCCGGUUUAUUAUAACUUGUAUUAUAUUAUUAUAUUAAAAUCAAAUCAUGGGCCGAACCCGACUCAGACUGCACAAUAACUAUGGUCAUGGGCAAAACCCGACUCACAAGCAUUCCUACACCCAACUCGCUGAGCUUGUACCACUCUGUAUUGGUCAUGGGCCGAACCCGACUCACACAUAUACUAAAUUCAAUAAAAUCCCAAGUAGCAGAGCCGAAGUUGUUCAGAGAUUUUUCUGUGUGCCAAAGCCCUGUCUUCUCUUUCUAGAUUUUGGACGGCAAACCGCCGCGCGUGUAGAGAUGUGUGCGUGUGACAAAAAAUGAUGGAUGGGUUUCAAGUCUUUCGUUGGUCACACACACACACAUGCAUCUACUGGUGGUUUGCGCUACAUCGAGUCUACCCAUCUUUCUCGAUCUACCAUGAUUUUUUCUGCUAUCGCACUCAUCCGGGAGUUAAGGAUCCUCAGUUCGUCCAGAACUUUCGUUGUGCGGGAGUGAUGUGCGAUUUCUUGUGUCCCCUACUUUCCUUUUUUACGUUUUGCGCAGUGUUGCUCCUUCUUCCAUUGUGGAAUGAUUUAUCCUAGCUAACUUGUUGAGUUACAGGUGUAUGCGCCAUUCAUCAAAGCCUACCUGUUGGCAUCAUCAACAAUCUUCAAAGUGGGUGACGGAAAGAAAAUGUUUUCCAGUUUUAAAAUAUUAAGCGUUCAGCACAACUCAGCCACAAAACAACGCACUGGAUUGCGCUAAGAACCUGUCACUCUGACACUGUAAACAAGUGUACGAGUGGAUCCCAUACAAAAUUUCCCCUUUUUGCGGACUGAGAAACAAAAAAAUAAAGAGCCGAAAAAUUACACCAUUACACCACUCUCAAUACACUUCUGCUUAUAUCAUGGCAGAAUCGCCAAUGUGAUAUCUUCUAAUCCAACAAUCAACUUUCUUCUCCGGUACAUGGACGCACAUCCAGCUUUAUUCCUCGUACAACACUGACUAACUCCCUCACGCUCAUUCGUCACUCACACUCUCUUAGCUGUACCCUAGGAUACCGCAGUUCUAUCAUCAGGAUACCGCAGUUCUAUUCAACUUUUACUAACGCAUUACGAUCCAUCCGCAGAAAUAAUAGUGGUAGCAGACGCUUCAUCCAUUGGAAUCAGAGCCACUCUUAGUCACAAUUUCUACAACGGUAGCAUCAAAGUUGUGCAACACGCUUCAAGGGCGCUGACAAAGGUGGAAUCCAACUAAGGCCAAAUAUAAGUCCUUCCGCAAAAACAGCUUUGCAUAAACGCGGUCACCACGCUGAAAACGUUUGUGAAUUAAACCUGCCGGUUAUUCUCGUGCCGCAAGAGGAGGUUUAAGCAGUUCCAGAGAAGUUCUAACUUUUCGCCCAAGCAUAGCUUCCGGUGGCGAUUGUUUGUUCUCUAGCACCGGAUUGACGUGAUUGACGUUUCCUCAAAGAGCAAGUCACAGUCUGAUCGCACUCCAACAUUUCGACCGUUUUUGCGCGUGUUUUUUAAUCUCAUAUCGCUUCUGCACGCGCUCAACUAGUCCAUCUCUGGUCGAUUUAUCAUCCAGUGAUAAGGUUUUCAUCAAGUGUACAAACCCCGCAGCAUAAUUUCCAUUCGAAGAUUGUAUCAAAACCGCAUCGUGCCGGGAUCACAUACACUCAUCCUCGCGUGUGUUAGUGUGUUGUCGUUCUUUUUUUUUUCUUCAUCAUGGCCGAAUCCUGCCCCUCCUGUGCUGCUCCUGUAACGAGUGAUGACUCCUGUAAGUGUGUUGGCUUCUGUAAUACCACUUACCACUUUGGCUGCUUGAGUGUGUGUGAGGUGGUCAUGUCCGAGCUGAAACGUCCUGACUCACAAACUCUUUGGAUCUGCACUAGCUGCAAUGAAUCACGCGCCAGUAAGGGUUUUUCACUUAAUGGAAUGCUAGCUGCUCUUUCAAACCUGAAGCUGGAGCUUCUUGGAGAAUUUGAUUGUCGUCUCACGGAUGCCUUGGACGCAGUCAAGAAAGAUGUUCUAGCCGCGUUCCACGCAACUUAUGUUAACACGCACACUACGUUACUUACUGCUCCCCCUGGCUUACCGCUUCUAAUGAAUAAUUCUGUGGCCACUCCUAUAAGCUCUCGCCCCGGUGAGCUCGAUCGUAACUCACAAAACGCACCAUCCCGAAAUCCACCUAAGCGGAGGCUUGUUGAUUUUACGCCGCCGGAUACCAAUCCUAAUACCCCACUGCUCACGGGUACAGCGCCUAUAUUAACAUCGUAUCGUGCCGUGUUGACAGUCCCAUUAAGUGAUCCUAACUCUAAUAGGUUUUGGUUAUACCUUACCCGCAUAGCUCCGUCGGUCACAGACGUCGAGAUGAAGGAAAUGAUAACAACACAACUGGGCACUGAUGACGUCAUCAUAAAUAAGCUGUUGCCCCGCGACCGCGAUCCUAACACUCUCACUUUUAUCUCAUUUAAAGUAGGGAUCCCUACGGACAAAGAGUGGGUAAUUUUUAUCAUGGUGUGCGUAAAAACCUAGAAUCAAGCCGAUGGAAGAUUUCGUAGGCUUAAAAAAAGGGGAGAGAAUCGGUACCACGGUUCUCUCCCGCUCCCAUAUAAAAUACACGGUGCGCUCUCUCGGUUUCCAAGGCUUCUUUGCUUUCAAUGUGUGAGUGAAAUGUCGAGGCUCUGAAAUGGUGUGUGUGUCAACUCUGCAUUUAUUCGAAGCUGUCAAAUGCGAUGUUUACAUUUUCAUACCGGCAAAAUUUGAUAUACGCGUAGGAGUGAUUUUAAACUGUGAAAAGUAAAAGAGUAAAAAAGUUAUUAAAUAACAUUACAAGGUAACUUUAGUUAAAUGUUUAUGGUAGAAUAAUGCCAACUAACCUUUAAAUACUGUCUUUCGUAGUUAUUUUGGUGCUAUAUAUCAGUGGGUCAGUUUGUUAUACCCUGCGAAGGAAGAAGAAGAAACACAAAGCACGCGCGGCUAAAUCCUGAAGGCGAAGAAAUGGUACAUUCGCAUCUGCGUGAACCGUUACUAACCGGUGAAGCACCUGUGGUGCAUGGUUCACCUGUUGUGCCUUCGACUUCAACACGAUGCCCGCGUCCUAUCGGCACGAUUUUACGGGCUAAUAUACCGUCGGAGCCGUGUAUUGCGGCGUCUGCAUAUGGUGUACAAAUGCCGUCAUCGAUUGCAACAAUGCCAAGUUCGACUGGCUCAUUAUACACCAUGACGCCACCGACUUCAGUUGCAGUCACGUCUUCGAUUGUGUCUUCAACAAGAAUGGCCACAGCAACUUUGCUUCUAUCGGGGACAUUCAUUAGAACGGUUGCACCAUCCACGCCUGCGCAGACAACAUAUGUUGUAGCUUCAUCGACUGCGACUACAUCAACGGUAACAUCAUCUCAUUACAUGCAUUCAGCAUGGCGUG